rnacentral:rRNA from 1 species
UUAGGGACUGCCGGUGGACUAAACCGGAGGAAGGUGGGGAUGACGUCAAGUCCUCAUGGCCCUUAUAGGUGGGGCUACACACGUCAUACAAUGGCCGGUACAAAGGGCAGCAAACCCGCGAGGGGGAGCCAAUCCAUCAAAGCCGGUCGUAGUCCGGAUCGCAGUCUGCAACUCGACUGCGUGAAGUCGGAAUCGCUAGUAAUCGUGGAUCAGCAUGUCACGGUGAAUACGUUCCCGGGUCUU